CUUGUGAAUAUGAUGCAGUCCGCAGUCGGUAGUGAGAGAAGAACAGACGGUUGUUGUCCGUGAUUUUUAGUGUUAUCCCAGAGUGCACUGUCAUAGGUACUGAAGCCAACAAUGUCGGUACAUCAAUCCCCAAAUUGUGGUGGGAACCGCGUGUAUGUCUUCCGGCCGUUGAAUGGACAGACCUUCAGGUUCCGCGUGAAGGCACCCAAUGAUGCCAACAUUUGUCUGUCUGGGGCAGCAGCAGAGGUCCCCCAUCACAUGUUUGAGAUCUUCCUUGGUGGCUGGGGUGGUGGUGAGUCAGGCAUCAGGAGGAACAAGAAAGAUGACGUCUGCAAGGUUAAGACCCCCAAUAUACUCAAUGCAAAUGAGUUUAUGGGAUUCUGGGUUGUUGUCACCAACAGUGCCAUUAAGAUUGGGCGUGAACGGGAGUCAAAACCAUUUUUGACCUUCUCAGAUGCCAUUGCACCCAUAAGGGUCACCCACUAUGGAUACUGCACAGCUUAUGGUGCAAGAGGAUCCUGGAUUUUUGCAGAUGAAGAUCCAACACCGUUUGAACCAGAGUCGGUCAUGAUUAAUCAGCUUGGGCGUCUCCAGUUAACACGGCAGCCACAGAGACCAUCGCCUGCCCUUGGCUUUGUUACUGUACAACCUAACAUAGCAACUCCAGUUUGCAACAGUGGAACUUUACAGUGGAUCCCUUGUAGAAAUGGGUCCAAGUGUGCAGCACCAGUUCCUGCUACAGUAGGGAGAAACCCUUCAUAUGUAGCUGCUGCCCACCAUCAAGGAGAGUUUAUCCCUGGAGUCCUUCUGCCGGACACCAAUGCCUGCUACAUAUCCUGGGGUGGUACCUCUAUUGCCAAACCUAAUUACUUUCUGCUGAGUAACCCCGGGGGUGCCAACUUCACGUGGCAGUCAGCAAAGCAGGGUAAUGUUCCCAUGGGAGCCCUGGAGGGUGGCUAUACAGUGAAUGGGGAAAAACUAUUCAUCGGUCGCUUCAGUGUUAGUGGGACCGUUGUCUCCGGAAAGGUUCACUGCAGUCAUAAGGUGUGCUACGUCCCUUACUGGGGUUCAGAGAAUAAGAGCGCAGUGUAUGAGGUUCUCUGUCUGCAGACUGUCCCAUUCUCCUUCCUUGGCGUACAGUAAGGCCAACUGCUACAAACCCCGACCAGAGCAAGGUGGUGAAGAUAGAUGGAUAAAUUUCAGAGUUUUACAUUAAAGAAUUUAAUUAAAUGCUGUAAGAUAUCUGGGAGGACUUAAAGAGUUGUAGUACCUGUGUUGAUGGAAGUUUGUAAUCCUAAGAUGAGAUAAUUUUUGGAGGUUUCUUUUUACACAAGUACAGCAUUUUUACCCAAAGAAUUAAUUAACUUUCCUAAGUACAUUAUUUCUUUUAGAAUUUAAGUAUAAUUGAACCUCAGAAAUAAAUAAAUCACUCGUCUGAGUCACAGGUUAAGUUAGUUUUAAAGAGAAGAAGAAAAAAGUCCAACUUAUGCCGCUGGAUCAUAACUGAAAAUAAAAUGCACAAAACAAUUAAGAUUAGAAUAAUUUUGAUGAAAAACUUUUUGUGAAGAUUUGAUCAUAAUUCAUAAAUAUUACUGCUGCCAUGGUGCUCUGUAUAGUAUGUUAGGUCUCAACUCCUUAUACAGAUAACAAAUGCAUUCAAUAUCUGAGUAAGAAAAUGUGUUUUUUGCAAAUUUUAAUUUUAAUUUUAUCACAGUUAUUAUGCCAUAAUUUUUUUUACAAGCAUUUACCUAACAGAUGUGGGUGUGUGAGAGUCCAGGGCAACAGAUAAAUCUUUCCUGUGUGCAGGCCCUGAUGUGGGUCAUUACCUGUGCCCGGGUGGAUUAAUCCCCGGAAAAAAAAGGUUUUGUUAUUAGGUCUCAGGCUGGUACAGUACAGUACAGUUCAGUAAUUUAAUUAAAAUAUAAUUUUAAAGUUAUGUUUACAGUAAUUUAGAAUUGCAUAAAUAAUUAAAGGACCAAUUGUAUUAAAAAAUUGUGUUAUUAAUUCAAAUGAAUGCCACAAACCAAGAUAUAUGUCCCAGGACUGUGUUGAUAAGUUUUGCUACUUGGUGUUAUAUACUGUAUAUGUAUGUGUAUAUGCUGCAUUUAUUGAUUAUAUAUACAUUAUAUAUUAUGUUACUUCUUACCAAAGUCAGAAAGUGUUUAGGCUUGUGUAAACACGAAAUGUGUUCGGCACAUUGUAACCAACAAUAGAGAAUAAACGCCCAGCCAGACUGAC